rnacentral:rRNA from 1 species
UACGUAGGUGGCAAGCGUUGUCCGGAUUUAUUGGGUUUAAAGGGUGCGUAGGCGGUCUAUUAAGUCAGUGCUGAAAUAUCCCGGCUUAACCGGGAGGGUGGCAUUGAUACUGAUGGACUUGAGUGCAGUCGAGGUAGGCGGAAUUGACGGUGUAGUGGUGAAAUGCUUAGAUAUCGUCAAGAACACCGAUAGUGAAGACAGCUUACUAGACUGUAACUGACGCUGAGGCACGAAAGUGUGGGGAUCAAACAGG